UACGAAGGGGGCUAGCGUUGCUCGGAAUCACUGGGCGUAAAGCGCACGUAGGCGGAUUGUUAAGUCAGGGGUGAAAUCCUGGAGCUCAACUCCAGAACUGCCUUUGAUACUGGCGAUCUCGAGUCCGGGGAGAGGUGAGUGGAACUGCGAGUGUAGAGGUGAAAUUCGUAGAUAUUCGCAAGAACACCAGUGGCGAAGGCGGCUCACUGGCCCGGUACUGACGCUGAGGUGCGAAAGCGGUGGGGAGCAAACGGG
rnacentral:rRNA from 1 species